CCUACGGGUGGCAGCAGUGAGGAAUAUUGGUCAAUGGACGGAAGUCUGAACCAGCCAUGCCGCGUGCAGGAAGACGGCUCUCUGAGUUGUAAACUGCUUUUGUACAAGGGUAAACCUGAAUACGUGAAUUCAGCUGAAAGUACUGUACGAAUAAGGGUCGGCUAACUCAGUGCCAGCAGCCGCGGUAAUACGGAGGAUACAAGCGUUAUCCGGAUUGAUUGGGUUUAAAGGGUGCGUAGGCGGAUUGAUAAGUUAGAGGUGAAAUGUCCGAGCUUAACUCGGGAACUGCCUGUAAUACUGUAGAUCUAGAGUGUAGAUGCGGUAGGCGGAAUGUAUGGUGUAGCGGUGAAAUGCUUAGAGAUCAUACAGAACACCGAUUGCGAAGGCAGCUUACUAAUCUAUAUCUGACGUUGAGGUACGAAAGCGUGGGGAGCAAACAGGAUUAGAUACCCUUGUAGUC
rnacentral:rRNA from 1 species